rnacentral:rRNA from 1 species
AUGGAAAAACUGAAAGGCUCCCCUCUUGCUGCAAAAACUGUUGGUACAUUACUGAGAAAGUGCCUUAAUUUGCAUCAUUGGAGAAGAGUUUUAGAAAGCAAAGAAUGGGAGAGACGGACCGGUACCAAUGACAUUAUGCCUGCUCUGAAGCUUAGCUAUGACUAUCUUUCUUUUCAUCAACAACAAUGUUUCUUCUAUUCUGCACUAUUUCCAGAAGAUCACGAGUAUAGUACCACUGAGCUAAUCAAUUUGUGGAUAGGACUAGAUAUUUUACAACCUGGUACUCAGAAUCAAACAUUGGAAGAUGUAGGUUUAAUGAAUUUGAAUGAUCUGGUCACACAUGGAUUUUUCAAAGAAGAGGAAACUAAUGGCCGUGUGCGUUAUGUAAUGCAUGACCUGCUACAUGAUUUAGCACUAAAGGUUGGGUCUCAUGAAUGUCUUACUGUACAUCAUUCUAAUGUGGGGUCAGUAGAAAUUAAGCCAUCCAUUCUUCACUUGUCUAUAAUCAUUGAUGAUGAUCAUACAAUGUCUGAUGAAAGCUUUAAGAGCCAAUUGAGAAAGUUGAAGACAGGAUUGAAGGUUAAAGAAUUGCAUACUUUGAUGUUAUUUGGAGAAAUGGAUGAAAGCUUUGCCCAAAUUUUGGAUUAUUUGUUCAAGGAAGCUAAUGCCCUUCGCUUUAUCCGUUUGGUUGACAUGCCGUCUUUUGUGGGGUCCAUAUUACCUAACAAUUCAGCACUUGUCCACCUACGGUACCUUUGUCUGGGGACAAAGUAUACGAGGGAGAUACCACUUGCCAUUUCUAAGUUCUAUCAUUUAAGGAUUCUAGAUCUUGGAUGGUGGCAUGGCUGUUGUGAUUUGUCGAAAGACUUGAGCAACCUUGCAAAAUUGCGUCGUUUUUAUACCCCAAGUGAUGAGCUUCAUUCUCAUAUUUAUAAUGUGGGGAAACUUACACUCUUAGAAGAGUUGAAGGUAUUUAAAGUCAAUAAAGAAAGUGAAGGAUUUGAGCCAGAGAACCUAGAGCAUUUGACCGAACUAAGGGAGUUUGGCAUGUAUAACCUUGAGAAUAUACACACCAAAGAAGAAGCAACCAAAGCAAAACUGAUUGAAAAAAACUACUUGGAGAGGUUAACAUUAGAUUGGGAUACUGAGCGGUCUAAUAACGAGUCUGAUGUGGAAGGGGUGGUUCUCGAGAGCCUUGAACCACAUAGAUAUCUUCAAGAGUUGUCUAUUAGAGGGGCGUCACAGCAUGGAUGCCCUUCUUGUCCAACAUGGCUGGGUGAUAAGCUCACUGUUGAAGCUCUUCAAUCUCUUCAUCUCGUCGGCGUUUCUUGGCAGUGUCUCCCUUCUUUUGGGAAGAUGUGGGAUCUUCAUACAUUAAUAUUGAAGCAUAUUGCGGCAAUGAAGGUGUUUGUUAUAGAGCAAACCUUUUGUGGGCUAAGAAGGCUUGAACUUGUUGGAUUGGCAAAUUUUGAGAAGUGGGUACCAAUACCAUCAGAGGAUGUUCAUCAUAUGUUUCCUCUUUUGCAAGUACUGGUUAUUAGAGACUGCCCUAAACUCUUGGAGUUGCCAUUUUCAAACCGCAUUGUGUACCCACUAGAUCAAGACCGGAACAUUGAUUGGUUUCCCAAAUUGCAAGAGCUUCAGAUAGAGAACUGUCCGGAAUUCUUGUCAGUGGCUCAUAUCCCCUGGACUGAAACUCUUCAUUCUGUAAAAAUACGAGGCGUAAAUCUACUGGAGAAGCUUGAGUACUCAAAAUCAUCCUACAGGGUAGGAUUGGAGGUUGUUGGAAAGGGUGAUCUACAGGUGUUAGAUCAGGUGUUAGCGUUCAAUAACCUGGCAGGUCUUGAGCAGCUGAUGCUAUCCGCCGGCUCGUUUUCCUCUCCUUGCUGCUUCCUUUUCCCGCCCUCUCUGCAAUACCUUAUUAUCUCCGGUGUGGAAGGUAUGGGGACACUGGAGCCGCUCUCAAACCUCACCUCUCUCACCCGAUUAGUAUUGGAGAACUGUGGAGAGGAUCAAAGCUGCAAGGGUCUAGGGCCUCUCCUUGCCGCCGGGGGACAGCUCAGGGAGUUACUCGUCUAUGGCAGCCCUAGAUUCUUUGUUGGAUGGGAUCCCAAUCCCAGGCGGGUGCUGCAGGAUGGAGGAGGAGAAGGGCAUGAGCUGCUCGCUUCCUCCCCGAAUUCAUCCAAACUGCAGGAGCUUUGUACGAAUGAGGCCAUGGGACUCCUUGCUGCGCCCAUCUGCAGCUUCCUGUCUUCCUCUCUCACCCGCCUGCAUCUUUAUGGGAACCAAAAGAUGAAGUGCUUCACCAAGGAGCAAGAGGGCGCCCUUUACCUCCUCGCCUCCCUCCAGGAGCUCGAGUUUUCGAUGUAG